UACGGAGGGGCUAGCGUUGUUCGGAAUUACUGGGCGUAAAGCGCGCGUAGGCGGACCUGCAAGUCGGGGGUGAAAGCCCGAGGCUCAACCUCGGAACUGCCUUCGAUACUGCGGGUCUCGAGUCCGGGAGAGGUGAGUGGAAUUCCUAGUGUAGAGGUGAAAUUCGUAGAUAUUAGGAAGAACACCAGUGGCGAAGGCGGCUCAGCUGGCCCGGUACUGACGCUGAGGCGCGAAAGCGUGGGGAGCAAACAGG
rnacentral:rRNA from 1 species